rnacentral:rRNA from 1 species
GUCCCAGUUCGGAUUGCAGUCUGCAACUCGAGUGCAUGAAGCUGGAAUCGCUAGUAAUCGCGAAUCAGAAUGUCGCGGUGAAUACGUUCCCGGGUCUUGUACACACCGCCCGUCACACCAUGGGAGUCGGGAAUGCCCGAAGCCGGUGACCCAACCUUAAGGAGGGAGCCGUCGAAGGCAGGCCUGGUAACUCGGGGUGAAGUCGUAACAAGGUAGC